GAUUAUGGCUCAGAUUGAACGCUGGCGGCGUGCUUAACACAUGCAAGUCGCGCGUGAAAGGACUUCGGUCCGAGUAAAGCGGCGCACGGGUGAGUAACGCGUGGAUGAUCUACCCAUGAGUUAGGAAUAACGGCUGGAAACGGUCGCUAAUACCAAAUACGCUCCGAUUUCAACUUCGGGGGAAAGGUGGCCUCUGCUUGCAAGCUACUGCUCAUGGAUGAGUCCGCGUCCCAUUAGCUAGUUGGUGGGGUAACGGCCCACCAAGGCGACGAUGGGUAGCCGGUCUGAGAGGAUGACCGGCCACACUGGGACUGGAACACGGCCCAGACUCCUACGGGAGGCAGCAGUGGGGAAUAUUGCGCAAUGGGCGAAAGCCUGACGCAGCGACGCCGCGUGAGGGAAUGAAGGUCCUCGGAUCGUAAACCUCUGUCAGGAGGGAAGAACCGCCACGGUGCUAAUCAGCCGUGGUCUGACGGUACCUCCAAAGGAAGCACCGGCUAACUCCGUGCCAGCCGCGGC
rnacentral:rRNA from 1 species